AAAAAGACAAACUCUGCUUUCCGUGUCCAACAUUUAACCGUCCGUCUUAUAUUUAAAAAAAUUAUGAAAAAAUUAAAAAGACAAGUCACGUAUAAAAUAUUAAUCAUGUUUUAUCAUUUAACAACAAUGAAAAUACGAAUUAUAAAAAAAAAUUUAUAUAAGACGAACUGUUAAAGUUGGAAAAAAAAUCCAGGGUUUUUUUUUUU
rfam:Oryza sativa Japonica Group DNA, chromosome 1, cultivar: Nipponbare, complete sequence.